rnacentral:rRNA from 1 species
UACGAAGGGGGCUAGCGUUGUUCGGAAUUACUGGGCGUAAAGCGCACGUAGGCGGGUUGUUAAGUCAGGGGUGAAAUCCUGGAGCUCAACUCCAGAACUGCCUUUGAUACUGGCAACCUAGAGACUGGAAGAGGUUAGUGGAAUUCCCAGUGUAGAGGUGAAAUUCGUAGAUAUUGGGAAGAACACCAGUGGCGAAGGCGGC